rnacentral:rRNA from 1 species
UACGAAGGGGGCUAGCGUUGCUCGGAAUCACUGGGCGUAAAGCGCACGUAGGCGGAUCUUUAAGUCAGGGGUGAAAUCCUGGAGCUCAACUCCAGAACUGCCUUCGAUACUGGAGAGCUCGAGUCCGGGAGAGGUGAGUGGAACUGCGAGUGUAGAGGUGAAAUUCGUAGAUAUUCGCAAGAACACCAGUGGCGAAGGCGACUCACUGGACACAUAUUGACGCUGAGGUGCGAAAGCGUGGGGAGCAAACAGGAUUGAGAU